UCAAUUUAUCAGAUAUCUCAACUUCUAUCUUCCAAAGAUCGGUCAUUCCAUUGGUGAUGGACUGGUCAAUUGAGAAUCAGAUGUGAUGUAGCGAAACAAAAUACUUCAUCUUAUGCAUGUGGUCCAAAUAGUGAUUGGAAAAAUUCUACCGAUGGCCCUGGCUAUCUGUGUUACUACAAGGAUGGUUUUGAAGGAACCCAUGUGUCCUCAAGUGGGAUGCCAAGACAUAAAUGAAUGUGAAAAAUGAUACAAUAAUCCCUGUUAUGGGAAAGCUAUUUGCAAUAAUAUUGUGGGAAGUUACAGCUUCUAUUGUCCAGAAGACUACCGUGGUGACAGUUUGGCAAACGGGACUCGCUGUAAUCGGGACCAGAUAGGAACUCCAUUGGUAGGACUUGUUGCAUGUAAUUUUCUUUCUAAUAAUAAAAUUUCUAAUUUCUUU